rnacentral:rRNA from 1 species
UACGGGGGGAGCAAGCGUUGUUCGGAUUUACUGGGCGUAAAGGGCGCGUAGGCGGCGUGCUAAGUCGAACGUGAAAUCCCCGGGCUCAACCCGGGAACUGCGUCCGAGACUGGCAUGCUUGAAUCCGGGAGAGGGAUGUGGAAUUCCAGGUGUAGCGAUGAAAUGUGUAGAGAUCGGGAGGAACACCGGUGGCGAAGGCGGUCUUCUGGACGGUGACUGACGCUGAGGCGCGAAGCGUGGGAGCAAACGGGAUUGAG